UUGACAAUAGUGAUACAUUAAAGGUGGCAAGGGUGGGUGGGGCUGAUCCUGAAGGUGACCAGCCUGGAGAUCUUUAUGUUACUCUCAAGGUUCGUGAAGAUCCUGUGUUCCGUAGAGAAGGAUCGGAUAUUCAUGUGGAUGCAGUUCUCAGUGUUACCCAGGCCAUUCUUGGAGGAACCAUUCAAGUUCCAACCCUCACUGGUGAUGUUGUCGUGAAGGUCCGUCCUGGAACCCAACCUGGUCAUAAAGUAGUGCUAAGAAAUAAAGGUAUACGAGCAAGAAAGUCGACUAGAUUUGGGGAUCAAUAUGUGCAUUUCAACGUCAGCAUCCCUGCAAAUAUAACUCAGAGGCAGCGUGAACUGCUUGAGGAAUUUAGUAAAGCAGAACAAGGUGAAUACGAGCAGCGCACGGCAUCUGGAUCUUCCCAGUGAAAACUGCAAAAUGCUGCUAUAAGCCUAAAAAGCUAUAUUUUUGUGGCUGUAUCAUUAAACCAUGGAUCAUCCUCCUUCCUGAUGGAUAUAUCAAUCAGACAUGAUUGAGAUUAUAUUGCGUAGGAUUAGUAAUAAAGAGUAUUGUUUGGGUUUUACUUUUUUAACUACUAGUUCUACAAUGCUAGAAGAUAAAAAGAAGAAGGAAAAGCGUGUGCUGUUAUUGCCAGUAUUUGCUUCUUGAAGUGUCGAGGUUUAUAAGAUACCAAGGUGCAUACACUUGUGAUACGGUUCAUUUUUUUUUUUUUAUCUCUUGUCGAUCAUUUUACAUGUCUCGUUUGCAAAUGUUUAUUCUAACCAUUUUGUAGCGUACCUACACGAAAGAGAAAUGUAUGACUUUAUCACUGAUGUUGUGUCCAUGAAUUAGCCAGUUCAUAUA